rnacentral:tRNA from 1 species
AGAGAGAUAGUAUAUAAAGUACAUUUGAUUUCGGCUCAAAAAGUAACGAUUUGUUUUUCUCUU